rnacentral:tRNA from 1 species
CAGGUAAUAGUUUAUAAAAAUAUUAAUUUUGGAGAUUAAAGAUAAGAUUUUCUUUUUCCUGA